rnacentral:misc_RNA from 1 species
UCCGGUUUGUCACCGGCAGUCUCGCAUGAGUCCCCAACUAAAUGCUGGCAACAUGCGACGGGGGUUGCGCUCGUUGCGGGACUUAACCCAACACCUCACGGCACGAGCUGACGACAGCCAUGCAGCAUCUGUGCACACUCCCUUGCGGGUCAUCACCGUUUCCGGCUUUUACCAUGUGCAUGUCAAGCCCAGGUAAGGUUCUUCGCGUUGCGUCGAAUUAAACCACACGCUCCGCUGCUUGUGCGGGCCCCCGUCAAUUUCUUUGAGUUUUAACCUUGCGGCCGUACUCCCCAGGCGGAGAGCUUAAUGCGUUAGCUGCGUCACCAAUAAGCAUGCUUACUGACAACUAGCUCUCAUCGUUUAAGGCGUGGACUAC